AGAUUGCAGCCCUGCCCGGACGAGAUGCGCCGUACCCGGUUACGUAAGACGACGCCCU
ncrna:Myxococcus xanthus DK 1622 ykkC-III RNA